rnacentral:rRNA from 1 species
UGAGGAACAUGACCUUCGGCGGGGGAUAGCCGGCCCAACGGCCGGGUAAUACCGCGUACGACCACAUGGGGACAUCCCUGAGUGGUGAAAGCAGCAAUGCGCCGAUGGAGUGCCUCGCGGCCUAUCAGCUAGUUGGUGAGGUAACGGCUCACCAAGGCGACGACGGGUAGUUGGUCUGAGAGGAUGGCCAGCCACAUUGGGACUGAGACACGGCCCAGACUCCUAGGGAGG